UCUCCUGUAGCUCAGUGGUAGAGCGUCUGACCGGUGUGUAGAAGAUGAUAGAUCCACUCCUGUUGGGAGAA